AGCCACCUGAGUGUUAAAAACAAACAAACGAACAAGCAAAUUCUUUAUAGCAAUAUUCUAAAUACAAUCCCCUUGCAGCAUUUUUUGGUUGACUGAGUUACUUAAAUAUAUGAGGAAGUUUUUGCAAUGAAAGCUGUUAUGCCAAAGGCCUAGUCCUUAAUUCCUGUUUCUUCCUCUCCUUCGUACCUGACGAAAAUUUAUGGUCCAUUCUGUUAACAAUGGAACCAUCAACACUGAACAAGAGUCACUCACCAAAUGAACUCAAAAGGGAGCAGAGUUUGACACAGAUAUUGACUGUAAAAAUAUUCAUGAGCUCAUCCUUACACUAAGAAAAAAGGUCCAGAACUAGUGGGUGACAGCAGCAAGCACAAACAGCAAGAAGGAAGCAGAGACACAACUCCUGAUCAAAACUGGAUAAAAUUUCAGGUUCAGCUAAUACCAGAAAAAUGGGCUUUCCAAAAGCACAAUAAAAC